rnacentral:tRNA from 1 species
GCAUCAGUAGUAUAGCGGUAGAAUACUUGUCUUCCAAACAAGUGGCCCGGGUUCGACUCCCGGCUGAUGCA